UAAAGUGCUGUUACAUGUUCAUAACUGAUA
rnacentral:piRNA from 1 species